rnacentral:rRNA from 1 species
GAAAUCAGGCCUAGAGAGUGUAAUGGCACAAGGGAGCUUGACUGUGAGGCCGACAAGCCGAGCAGGGACGAAAGUCGGGCAUAGUGAUCCGACGGCUCUGAAUGGAAAGGCCGUCGCUCAACGGAUAAAAGCUACCCCGGGGAUAACAGGCUGAUCUUGCCCAAGAGUUCACAUCGACGGCAAGGUUUGGCACCUCGAUGUCGGCUCGUCGCAUCCUGGGGCUGGAGUAGGUCCCAAGGGUUGGGCUGUUCGCCCAUUAAAGCGGUACGCGAGCUGGGUUUAGAACGUCGUGAGACAGUUCGGAUCGUAUCCGCUGUGGGCGCAGGAGAUUUGAGGGGAGCUGACCUCAGUACGAGAGGACCGGGUUGGACGGACCGCUAGUGCACCGGUUGUUCUGCCAAGAGCACCGCCGGGUAGCCAUGUCCGGAAGGGAUAAGCGCUGAAAGCAUNNAAAGCAUCUAAGUGCGAAGCCCACCCCAAGAUAAGAUCUCCCACCGGAAUAACCGGGUAAGACCCCAGCAAGACUAGCUGGUUGAUAGGCCGCAGGUGUAAGGGGGGCAACCCCUUGAGCUGAGCGGUACUAAUCGGUCGAGGGCUUGACCU